rnacentral:rRNA from 1 species
GCCAGACUCCUACGGGAGGCAGCAGUGGGGAAUAUUGCACAAUGGGGGAAACCCUGAUGCAGCGACGCCGCGUGAGUGAAGAAGUAAUUCGUUAUGUAAAGCUCUAUCAGCAGGGAAGAAAAUGGCGGUACCUGAGUAAGAAGCCCCGGCUAACUACGUGCCAGCAGCCGCGGUAAUACGUAGGGGGCAAGCGUUAUCCGGAUUUACUGGGUGUAAAGGGAGCGUAGGCGGGUUAGCAAGUCAGAAGUGAAAGCCCGGGGCUCAACUCCGGGACUGCUUUUGAAACUGGUGAACUAGAUUGCAGGAGAGGUAAGGGGAAUUCCUAGGGUAGCGGUGAAAU